rnacentral:tRNA from 1 species
GCCUGGGUGGCUCAGUCGGUGAAGCGUCUGACUUCAGCUCAGGUCAUGAUCUUGCAGUUCAUGGGUUCGAGCCCCGUGUCAGGCU